rnacentral:rRNA from 1 species
AUGGGGAACCUAGCUGAGAGCAUCGCAUGUGGCGUGGCGGCGUCGGGUGUCCUCUCGGCCUCCGCCAUCCGCACCACGGUCCACCGCCACCCUGAGCGCUGCGCCGCCUUCGCCUCCCUUGGCGCCACCAUCCUCGCCUCCAACGCCCAGGUUGUCGAGGACAGUGAUGUGAUCGUCAUCUCUAUCAAGCCUCAGAUUGUGAAGAAGGUUCUGGUUGAGCUCAAGCCCUUGCUGUCUGAAGAAAAGCUUCUGGUGUCCAUUACUGCUGCUAUUAAAAAUGAAAGAUUUACAGUGGCAUGGAAAAGGGGGUUUCCUCUCUGGCCGCCUAAAAAGCAUGUUGCUUGGGCAGACGUCUGCUCGGCCUUAGAUCCGUCUCCUCGAUGA